CGAGAAGCACGAAGGCCAUGGAUACCCCGGAGAAGCUUGUGAGCUUCGAAACUCUCAUCACCGACCUAGAGAUCUCCCUCCAAGGUCAGCAUAUCUCCUCCCUCAACCUUUCUCCGAUGACCCCGCCGCCCCCGCCGAGGUGUUAUGGAUUCUUUUGAUUUUGAUUUCAAAUGGUGUUGAUCGCGGUGAUGAUCGCUGGUCACCUCGUCUCAUUUGGGAAAUGAGGUAUUUCCUUCAAAACCAUCAAGGAUUUGGUAUUAUUUUAGCGUUCUUGGAGACCUAGACGCAGAGAUCUCGCCGGAGAAUGAGGCAUCUCCGAUCACGGAUCUGGCCUCAUUUCGGGCCGUCGGAGAGAGCAUCUGGAACCUCACUAUAAAAUGGGUUCAUAUAGAUACUGGGUGGGCAUGUAAAAGAUUUUCCGUGAAGAGGACAGUGCACACAAUUGAUGGGCAUCUGCGGAAGUUUUGCAUCCAUCACAAUGCUCUGCCUCCUGAUGAAAGGACUGCUUGAUGCAUGAAGAUGGGAGAAGUUGCAAUAGUGCAACACGCCAUGUGAAGAUACGCAAAUGAAGAACAAUGAAUCACUCAUAUUGAGUCAAAUAAUUCUUAAAAUGCAAACCUGCUUCGGAGAAGCUUCCUUUAUCCCAUUUAGAUUUCAGUUUGUU